CAGAACCCGUAACUCUGACUGUUCCCUUCCCCUCCCCAGUCCCUUGUGGAAUUAAGCUCUAGUGACAAAGCCCGGUCUGGAUGGAAGAAGUCCACCUGCAUUUAACACCAGUUGUACAGAAUUCUCAGUUCUCCUGUGUGCAACUGCUCAGAGCACAGCCCAGGCCCAGGAGGCAGGAUACCUGGGUCCUGCCCUGCCACCUGCCAUCACCAUCUCAGGAAACUUGCAGAGACGCAUCUAACUGCCCUGCCCCUCAAUCUCUGGUACUGCAAAACUGGGACUCAUUGUUCAGAGGCGAGGUGGGUUGAGGAAAGGAGAAGGUGCUGGUGAUGAAGAGGGCCUUGGAAUGAGAGUUGGGGUCACACUGGCCACAACUUCUCCCAUUCUCUGCUUGAAGUUCCUUUAUGAUUGGAGAGGCUGGCAAGUGAGGGAGGCAAGGCCAUCAACUCUGGAGUCCGAUGGCCCAGGUUUCAGAUCCCAGUUCUACAACUUACUGACCUGUUUCAGUUUCCCCAUCUGCAAAAGAGAUUAAAAACACAAAACAGGCCGGGCACGGUGGCUCACGCCUGUAAUCCCAGCACUUUGGGAGGCCGAGGCAAGCAGAUCACGAGGUCAGGAGAUCGAGACCAUCCUGGCUAACACGGUGAAACUCCGUCUCUAAUAAAAACACAAAAG
rnacentral:lncRNA from 1 species